CACCGAUUAGGGCAAAACUAGAUCUCUGCAACUUUCAUGGAAGCUUGAAUGCAUGCAGUUUGAGUUUGCGGUUUCCUUAUUUCAAUGACAAGAACCAAAUUUGCCAAUUUGAUCCGCUUGUUGAUGCUUUGCUCUCUCCAAAUUCUGGUUCGAAAUUUCGCAUGGAAUCGAUCGUGAGCCACAAUGGCUCACAAGACCCCUGGCAUUUCCUUGUAGCUAUCUACUUCGCUAUUGGUUUUGUA
rnacentral:misc_RNA from 1 species